AUGAACGCUGGCGGCGUGCCUAAUACAUGCAAGUCGAGCGAACGGACGAGAAGCUUGCUUCUCUGAUGUUAGCGGCGGACGGGUGAGUAACACGUGGAUAACCUACCUAUAAGACUGGGAUAACUUCGGGAAACCGGAGCUAAUACCGGAUAAUAUUUUGAACCGCAUGGUUCAAAAGUGAAAGACGGUCUUGCUGUCACUUAUAGAUGGAUCCGCGCUGCAUUAGCUAGUUGGUAAGGUAACGGCUUACCAAGGCAACGAUGCAUAGCCGACCUGAGAGGGUGAUCGGCCCCACUGGAACGGAAACACGGUCCAGACUCCUACGGGAGGCAGCAGUAGGGAAUCUUCCGCAAUGGGCGAAAGCCUGACGGAGCAACGCCGGGGGGGUGAUGAAGGUCUUGGGAUCGUAAACCUCUGUUAUUAGGGAAGAAAAUAUGUGUAAGUAACUGUGCACAUCUUGACGGUACCAAAUCAAAAAGCCCCGGCUAACUACGU
rnacentral:rRNA from 1 species